AAUCUACCACAAAUCCCACUCAUUUAACCAAGUUUAAGUGUUCAAUUCUUAUGCAAUUGAUUUGCAUGGCUAUAAAUAUAUGAAGGUUUAAUUAGAUUAAUCUUCUUAGUUGUUUUUUAAGAUUUCCUGAAAAUCUUAGCACUACCGAAAGCUCUCUUUCAUUUCUUCAAUUCUCUAUAAAUUAUCACACUCAUCGGAUCCCAACAUCUCGAUCUAUGGCCAAAGAUCAGUCAAAAAGACUUUUGUAAUGCAUUUCAGGAAUGCCCUGACGCUUGUCUGGGGUAGAAUUCGAGAAGACCUAUACAGAUGAAGCGCAGGGGUGCUAGCUUGGUGCCUGCUGGACGUGCUUUUCAAAGACCUCAAACCUAGAUGAAGCACAAUGGCGCUCCCCCGAGGUGGAGCGACGCACCAAACUUGAUUGAACGAACAUCACACUAGAAACACAACAACACUCUCUUAGGUGAACCACUGUGCUUUGACAAGCUUGCACCCUCCUGAUUUCUUUCUAUUGUGUUUAGGGUAUCACUUCCUUUAUUUAAUCAUUGUAUUUAAGUUCGGUUUUAAAUUAUUUUCUCUGCAUAUAGUUGUUGAGUUUUGACUAGCUGUUGAGAUUUGCUCCUAGUUUUUCUUUUUUGUUAUAUGCUGCUUGUUUCGUCUUU